GGGGGUGAAACUGGCUUCGACGGGGUUGACAGGAGCCUUGGAUUGCGUACCGUGUUAUCCGUGGACACGUUAAACAACGGUAAAAAAACACCAGGCGAAUCUUACGCCCUCGCAGCCUGAUUAGUUAGGCUGCCGUUUACGCAGAGUUCUCGUAUCAACUCUGUAGUGAACGCCAUUUAGAUACGAUAGUCGAUCCGAUCUCCGGGUAGGUGAGGCGAAUUAACACCGGAUAUUAGACGGGCGAUCCAGUCAGACGGAGCAACCGUAAUGAAACUAAAAUUCUGACUAUGUGCGUAGUAUAUUCUCUGAGCCUCAACUUCGGACGCGGGUUCGACUCCCGCCACCUCCACCA
rnacentral:tmRNA from 1 species